rnacentral:rRNA from 1 species
GUGCCAGCAGCCGCGGUAACACGGGGGGAGCGAACGUUGUUCGGAAUCACUGGGCGUAAAGGGCGUGUAGGCGGUUCGGUAAGUGGGAUGUGAAAUCCCCCGGCUCACCCGGGGAACUGCAUCUCAUACUGCUGGACUUGAGUGCGGGAGAGGAUGGGGGAAUUCCUGGUGUAGCGGUGAAAUGCGUAGAUAUCAGGAGGAACACCUGUGGCGAAGGCGCCCAUCUGGCCCGUUACUGACGCUGAUGCGCGAAAGCUAGGGGAGCAAACGGGAUUAGAUACCCUCGUAGUCC